rnacentral:hammerhead_ribozyme from 1 species
AUCCAACUGACGAGUCCCAAAUAGGGCAAAGCGCGCAUCCUGAAU